GACGAACGCUGGCGGCGUGCUUAACACAUGCAAGUCGAACGGAAAGGCCUGCUUUCCCUUGUGGAUUGCGGGUGCUCGAGUGGCGAACGGGUGAGUAACACGUGAGUGAUCUGCCCCCAACUUGGGUAUAAGCCUGGGAAACUGGGUCUAAUUCCCGAUAGGACUGCAGGGUGGUGCCUGUGGUGGAAAACGAUUUUCUAGUGGUUGGGGAUGAGCUCGCGGCCUAUCAGCUUGUUGGUGGGGUAAUGGCCUACCAAGGCGGCGACGGGUAGCCGGCCUGGGAGGGUGGACGGCCACAUUGGGACUGAGAUACGGCCCAGACUCCUACGGGAGGCAGCAGUGGGGAAUAGUGCACAAUGGGCGGAAGCCUGAUGCAGCGACGCCGCGUGGGGGAUGACGGCCUUCGGGUUGUAAACUCCUUUCGACCGCGAGGAAGCCACCUGGUUGGAAGGGUGGUGACGGUAGUGGUAGAAGAAGCACCGGCUAACUACGU
rnacentral:rRNA from 1 species